GGGAAGCGGCGCGAUGACGGCUCCUCCGCCCUCUUCCCGACGGGCGUCGAUCUCCGGCCGGCAGCGGCGGCGGCGGCGGCGGCGAAGCAGGGCCAGCUCAAGUCCAUCCUCAAGAAGCCCUCCGAUGAGGCCGGCGGCGCCGCCAAGGAGACCCAGCGGGUUAAGUUCCUCCUGGGAGGCGGCGACGGCACCGGCGAGCCGCCGGUGGUGGUCUGUAGUGCUGCUGCGGGUUUGGACAACAACCCUAAUCGUAAGGCUUCUUCUUCUUCUUCCAAAUCUGUCACCUUCCUCCCCGCCCCCCAACCCCCGCCCCCGCCCCGGCCGGCGGCGCCGCCGGUGGUGGACAUCUCCGGCCCGAUGCUCAGCCUUCUGGCGAGGUGCAGCGACAUCGUCACCGACGUCAAGUCGGCGCUGGGCUAUGUUCCCUAUCACCCUCUCUAG
rnacentral:lncRNA from 1 species